rnacentral:rRNA from 1 species
AACGAACGCUGGCGGCAGGCCUAACACAUGCAAGUCGAGCGAGGACUUCGGUUCUAGCGGCGGACGGGUGAGUAACGCGUGGGAAUGUGCCCUUCUCUACGGAAUAGCCCUGGGAAACUGGGAGUAAUACCGUAUACGCCCUAUUGGGGAAAGAUUUAUCGGAGAAGGAUCAGCCCGCGUUGGAUUAGGUAGUUGGUGGGGUAAUGGCCUACCAAGCCGACGAUCCAUAGCUGGUUUGAGAGGAUGAUCAGCCACACUGGGACUGAGACACGGCCCAGACUCCGACGGGAGGCAGCAGUGGGGAAUCUUAGACAAUGGGGGCAAACCUGAUCUAGCCAUGCCGCGUGAGUGAUGAAGGCCUUAGGGUUGUAAAGCUCUUUCAGCUGGGAAGAUAAUGACGGUACCAGCAGAAGAAGCCCCGGCUAACUCCGUG